rnacentral:rRNA from 1 species
AUAUAUCAUUAAACUAAAUGAAUUUGGCGGUUAUUUUUAAAAUUAGAGGAACCUGUGGAGUAAUUGAUAAUCCACGAUAAGAUAAACUUAAUGGUUUAUGUAUUGUUGUUUUUAAUUAAGUUUUUAGAAUUUAAUAAAAAUUUUUAAAAAAAGUAAUUCAAAUCAAAAUAUAGCAUUUUUAAGCUAUGGGUUACAUUAUUAAAAUGAAAUUGGAUUUAAUAGUAA